UAGGGAAUCUUCGGCAAUGGGGGGAACCCUGACCGAGCAACGCCGCGCGAGUGAAGAAGGUUUUCGGAUCGUAAAGCUCUGUUGUUAAGGAAGAACGAGUGUGAGAAUGGAAAGUUCAUACUGUGACGGUACUUAACCAGAAAGGGACGGCUAACUACGUGCCAGCAGCCGCGGUAAUACGUAGGUCCCGAGCGUUGUCCGGAUUUAUUGGGCGUAAAGCGAGCGCAGGCGGUUAGAUAAGUCUGAAGUUAAAGGCAGUGGCUCAACCAUUGUAGGCUUUGGAAACUGUUUUACUUGAGUGCAGAAGGGGAGAGUGGAAUUCCAUGUGUAGCGGUGAAAUGCGUAGAUAUAUGGAGGAACACCGGUGGCGAAAGCGGCUCUCUGGUCUGUAACUGACGCUGAGGCUCGAAAGCGUGGGGAGCGAACAGG
rnacentral:rRNA from 1 species